GUGACGUUGUUAUGUUUGUAAUGGCCGCGAUUCUAUUAUUCUAUCUUCCCUAUACAAAAUAUUAAAUGAGAAAAAUUCAAUUUAAUAAUUAGCAUAUAAUAUCAAGUAUAUUAAGAUAAAAUAUAGAACAAGUAGUGUACUGCGCACUUGCUUACUAUGAAACCGCGAACAAUUCAAUUGACUACAUAAAAAAUUUCACGUUUUUCCUUUUUUUAAAAGUAAAAUAUUUUUAAUAUAAUUAAGCUGUGUAUUUUUAUGUAAACGCAUAUUUUUAGGGAUGUAAUUAAAAAAGCAGAACCUCGGUAAAAAAUUAUUUUACAUAUCAAAUAUUAUAGAAAGUAUUGUAUUUUGGAUUUUAUAUAUUUUUUUAUAUUAUGUGCAUUCUGUAUAAUUUUGUAUUUUUAAAUUUUUUAUAAAUGCAGAAAAAUCUGCAGUCUACUUAUAAUUCAGUGUAAAUUAUUAAAUAUUUUAUUGAAAUGUCUUUAUACCUAAAUAACUUUUAAUUUGUCAUGGAAAAUGUCGCAUAUAAUAAUUUUUGAUGUAUUAUCAUGUACAUUAAUGCUUUAUGUCAAAGAUAAUUAUUAAUUUAAACGAUUUAAAAAUACCUUUAUAAUGCUCUAGAUUGAAUUUAUUUUCCAUUUAUUUAAAUUAUCCCUUAUUUUGCGUAUGAAUUUUCUAUAUUUUAAUUACUUAGUUAAAGCUUCAAACAUUUUUUUUAUUUUAAUAUAAUAUUGUAAAAAUUAUAUGUAAAAAUCUUAAGAAAAAUUGUACGUAAAAAGGUAAGAAAUGAUAUAAAAAUUAUUUCAUGCAAAAGAAACGAAUGGUGGGGCAGUUUGAAAAGAAAAGAAGCUUUGGAAAAUUAUUUCAAUCAGAUGAGUUUUAAAUCAAGCAGUCGAAUUACAUUCAUGUAGAAAAAUCACGAAUAUUUAUUAUUUCUUCAUGAUUGAUUGCUAAAUAUAUUCUUUAUUUUAUAUUGAAAGUCAGUCCAUUCUAUGUUCAUUUGCAUAAUUCUUUCUCUGUAAAAAUGUACUGAGAGAAAAAUAAAACUCAAACCCAAAACUUCUGAAUAAUAGCGAGCAAUUUAGUCAGUAUUUUUGAUCUUUUUUAAGCU